GAUGAACGCUGGCGGCGUGCCUAAUACAUGCAAGUCGAGCGAACUUUUGGGAGCUUGCUCCCAACAGUUAGCGGCGGACGGGUGAGUAACACGUGGGUAACCUGCCUGUAAGACUGGGAUAACUUCGGGACACCGGAGCUAAUCCCGGAUAACAUUUAAGACCACAUGGCCUUCAUUUAAAAGGUGGCUUUUAGCUACCACUUACAGCUGGACCCGCGGCGCAUUAGCUAGUUGUUGAGGUAACGGCUCACCAAGGCGACGCUGCGUAGCCGACCUGAGAGGGUGAGCGGCCACACUGGGACUGAGACACGGCCCAGACUCCUAGGGGAGGCAGCAGGAGGGAAUCGUCCGUAAUGGACGAAGGUCUGACGGAGCAACGCCGCGGGAGCGAAGAAGGCCGUCGGGUCGUAAAGCUCUGUAGUUAGGGAAGAACAAGAAUCGUUCGAAUACGGCGGGACCUUGACGGUACCUAACCAGAAAGCCACGGCUAACUACGUG
rnacentral:rRNA from 1 species